UAGGGAAUCUUCCACAAUGGACGAAAGCCUGAUGGAGCUACGCCGCGUGAGUGAAGAAGGGUUUCGGCUCGUAAAGCUCUGUUGUUAAAGAAGAACACGUAUGAGAGUAACUGUUCAUACGUUGACGGUAUUUAACCAGAAAGUCACGGCUAACUACGUGCCAG
rnacentral:rRNA from 1 species